UGAACGCUGGCGGCAGGCCUAACACAUGCAAGUCGAAUGGUAACAGGAAACAGCUUGCUGUUUCGCUGACGAGUGGCGGACGGGUGAGUAAUGUCUGGGAAACUGCCUGAUGGAGGGGGAUAACUACUGGAAACGGUAGCUAAUACCGCAUAACGUCGCAAGACCAAAGAGGGGGACCUUCGGGCCUCUUGCCAUCAGAUGUGCCCAGAUGGGAUUAGCUAGUAGGUGGGGUAACGGCUCACCUAGGCGACGAUCCCUAGCUGGUCUGAGAGGAUGACCAGCCACACUGGAACUGAGACACGGCCCAGACUCCUACGGGAGGCAGCAGUGGGGAAUAUUGCACAAUGGGCGCAAGCCUGAUGCAGCCAUGCCGCGUGUAUGAAGAAGGCCUUCGGGUUGUAAAGUACUUUCAGCGGGGAGGAAGGGAGUAAAGUUAAUACCUUUGCUCAUUGACGUUACCCGCAGAAGAAGCACCGGCUAACUCCGUG
rnacentral:rRNA from 1 species